rnacentral:rRNA from 1 species
CUAAUCUUUGAUUUAAUAAACAAUUAAUAAUUACUAAGUGAUUUUUUUAUUGUGUUUACCGUUAAGUUAUAUGGUUAUAUUACCUUUUGUAUAAUGGUCUGUAGAGUUUAUUUAUAUGAGUAUUAUUUAACUCGAAAACAUAUGAUAAAUAGGUAAUAAUAUGUAUUGUUACAAUAAUAUAAGUUAUUUUAUCUAUGGGAGUGAUAAGACAAUCGGAUAUGUUGAUAUAUAGUUUUUCCUAUUUUUGUAAGUAAUUUACAUUAGUGUCUUAUUGGGACAGCCACUAAGACCCAAAAAUUAGCUAGCCCACAUACAAAGCAUUAAUAUAGUAAUUAUAGUGUAGUUAUUUUGGGUUAUUUUAAGGAAAUUAACUUAUUAUAGAAUUAGUACAAGUAUCUUAUAAUAGUAAUUUAUAUACAUAUAAAUAAACUAACAUGUUUAGAUGAUAAUGUGGAAUUAGGCAAAUAUACCGCUGACAGUUUACUAAAAACUUAGCUUAAUGUUAUUACUUAUAUUAAGUGUUUUCUGCUCAGUGAUACGUUAAACAGCAUAUUUAAUUUAAAGUAGCAUAAUAUUGUCUAUUAAUUGUAGUCUUGUGAAGAAGUAACAGUGGUUUUCUGUCAUAUUAUCAAUAUUGUAAAUUCAGUGGGUGGUGAAAACUCCACCUUUAGUAUUAUAGAAAAAAAGACCCUAGGUACUUUUACCUGAAGAUUAGAUCAGUGGGUUUUUACUGGGGCAGUAGCCUUUUAAGGUUAACUAAGGUUUAUGUUUCAUAUUUUAUUAUAGUUUAAGAAAUGGCCUUUCGGGAGGCCUUGUAAGUAACCCUAGGGAUAACAGCGCAAUUUGCUAGGAGAGUUCAUAUUAAUUAGCGAGUUUACGACCUCGAUGUCGACUUGUAGUUGUUGCUGAGUCGCAGAAGAUUUAGUAGUUGUGUUUGUUCACCACUUAGUAAUACACGUGAGUUGGGUUUAGAACGGGGUGACUUAGUUUGGAUUUUUUCUUACAAUAAAUUAAAAUCGUAGUACGAAAGGAAAAAGAUUUGAAUUGUUAAAA